UUACCGAGUGCGGGCCCUCGCGGCCCAACCUCCCACCCUUGUCUCUAUACACCUGUUGCUUUGGCGGGCCCACCGGGGCCACCUGGUCGCCGGGGGACGCACGUCCCCGGGCCCGCGCCCGCCGAAGCGCUCUGUGAACCCUGAUGAAGAUGGGCUGUCUGAGUAUUAUGAAAAUUGUCAAAACUUUCAACAAUGGAUCUCUUGGUUCCGGCAUCGAUGAAGAACGCAGCGAAAUGCGAUAAGUAAUGUGAAUUGCAGAAUUCCGUGAAUCAUCGAAUCUUUGAACGCACAUUGCGCCCCCUGGCAUUCCGGGGGGCAUGCCUGUCCGAGCGUCAUUUCUGCCCUCAAGCACGGCUUGUGUGUUGGGUGUGGUCCCCCCGGGGACCUGCCCGAAAGGCAGCGGCGACGUCCGUCUGGUCCUCGAGCGUAUGGGGCUUUGUCACUCGCUCGGGAAGGACCUGCGGGGGUUGGUCACCACCAUAUUUUUCCACGGUUGACCUCGGAUCAGGUAGGAGUUACCCGCUGAACUUAAGCAUAUCAAUAAGCCGGAGGAA
rnacentral:rRNA from 1 species